rnacentral:rRNA from 1 species
UACGGGGGGGGUAAGCGUUGUUCGGAAUUACUGGGCGUAAAGGGCGCGUAGGCGGGAUGGCAAGUCGGUCGUGAAAUCCUUCGGCUCAACCGAAGAACGUCGAUCGAUACUGCUGUUCUAGAGGGUUGCAGAGGAGACUGGAAUUCCCGGUGUAGCGGUGAAAUGUGUAGAGAUCGGGAGGAACACCGGUGGCGAAGGCGGGUCUCUGGGCAACUCCUGACGCUGAGGCGCGAAAGCAUGGGGAGCAAACAGG